rnacentral:rRNA from 1 species
AGAGUUUGAUCCUGGCUCAGGAUGAACGCUGACAGAAUGCUUAACACAUGCAAGUCGAUGGGGAAGGGUAAGCUUGCUUACUUGGUAACCAUGGCGGACGGGUGAGUAACGCGUAAGGAACUUACCUGCGGGACUGGGAUAACGGAGGGAAACUUCUGACAAGACCGGAUAAAGUUACUGGGCAGCAUUGUUUGGUAAUGAAAGGAGACGCCUGCGGAGAGUCUUGCGUCCUAUUAGCUAGUUGGUUGGGUAAAGGCUGACCAAGGCGAAGAUAGGUAGCCGGCCUGAGAGGGUGGACGGCCACAAGGGGACUGAGAUACGGCCCUUACUCCUACGGGAGGCAGCAGUGGGGAAUAUUGGACAAUGGGGGCAACCCUGAUCCAGCAAUUCUGUGUGCACGAAGAAGGUUUUCGGAUUGUAAAGUGCUUUCAGCAGGGAAGAAGAAAGUGACGGUACCUGCAGAAGAAGCGACGGCUAAAUACGUGCCAGCAGCCGCGGUAAUACGUAUGUCGCGAGCGUUAUCCGGAAUUAUUGGGCAUAAAGGGCAUCUAGGCGGCCCUGUAAGUCUAGGGUGAAAACCUGCGGCUCAACCGCAGGCCUGCCCCGGAAACUACAGGGCUAGAGUGCUGGAGAGGUGGACGGAACUGCACGAGUAGAGGUGAAAUUCGUAGAUAUGUGCAGGAAUGCCGAUGAUGAAGAUAGUUCACUGGACGGUAACUGACGCUGAAGUGCGAAAGCUAGGGGAGCAAACAGGAUUAGAUACCCUGGUAGUCCUAGCUGUAAACGAUGAUUACUGGGUGUGGGCAUGAAGAGUGUCCGUGCCGAAGCAAAUGCGAUAAGUAAUCCGCCUGGGGAGUACGGCCGCAAGGCUGAAACUCAAAGGAAUUGACGGGGACCCGCACAAGCGGUGGAGCAUGU